UCAGCCCACCGGGUCAGCGGGCUCAUGAUGGCCAACCACACCAGUAUCUCCUCGCUUUUUGAAAGGACCUGUCGCCAGUUUGACAAGCUGAGGAAACGGGAGGCCUUCAUGGAGCAGUUCCGCAAGGAGGACAUCUUCAAGGACAAUUUUGACGAGAUGGACACCCCUCAGAGCACAGAUCAGGGACCUCAUCAAUCACUCGCAUACACAUGCACUGUCUGUUGGCUUAGGGGCGGGUUUACUUCUUUGAGAGUAUUUAUCUUUAAUAAAGCACUGGAUGUAAACCGA
rnacentral:lncRNA from 1 species